AUUGGCCUGUGUUGGCGCGUUGGAUCCCUGCUCCGGCAGCGACAACGUUGCACGCAGGCCUCUUCAGUUCUGGCCGGGUACUUCUCGGCCGUUGUCGGUUUCUUGUGUUGGAUACCUUUUGGGAGGGCAUUCUUCGGUUGGAAAUGAUGAGAAUCCGCCUUUGGCCGUGUUCCUAGGGGAUGCGGUGCCGGGCGGACCUCAAAGCGCGCAUCGUGAACCACGGCCCUUGCACAGUUCUGUGCUUGGGUUCCUGGCCCAUGCUGUCGUGAGCGAUCUCUCGGAUACGGAACAUUGUGCGGGCACGGGGUCCUCGGCCUCUAUCAUGCCCAAACUUCGAGCGUCCUAUGCU
rnacentral:misc_RNA from 1 species